rnacentral:rRNA from 1 species
UUGGAGGGCAAGUCUGGUGCCAGCAGCCGCGGUAAUUCCAGCUCCAAUAGCGUAUAUUAAAGUUGUUGCAGUUAAAAAGCUCGUAGUUGAAUUUCGGGACCAAUUUGUUGGUCGUGCCUCGGUACGUACUGGUAUUAUUGGUUUCUCCCUUCUGAAGAGCCUUGAUGUCAUUAAUUUGGUGUCUUGGGGAAUCAGGACUGUUACUUUGAAAAAAUUAGAGUGUUUAAAGCAGGCAUACGCUUGAAUACAUUAGCAUGGAAUAAUGAAAUAGGACGUUUGACUCUAUUUUGUUGGUUUCUAGGAUCGACGUAAUGAUUAAUAGGGAUAGUUGGGGGCAUUAGUAUUCAAUUGUCAGAGGUGAAAUUCUUGGAUUUAUUGAAGACUAACUACUGCGAAAGCAUUUGCCAAGGAUGUUUUCAUUAAUCAAGAACGAAAGUUAGGGGAUCGAAGACGAUCAGAUACCGUCGUAGUCUUAACCAUAAACUAUGCCGACUAGGGAUCGGAUGAUGUUAAUUUUUUAAUGACUCAUUCGGCGCCUUACGGGAAAC